GGGAGGAUGGCGCAGAUGAAGCGCAUUGCGCCUGGACCGGCAGGUCGCCGGUUCGAAUCCGGCUCCCUCCA
rnacentral:tRNA from 1 species